CACGUAGUUAGCCGUGGCUUUCUGAUUAGGUACCGUCAAGACGUGCACAGUUACUUACACAUUUGUUCUUCCCUAAUAACAGAGUUUUACGAUCCGAAGACCUUCAUCACUCACGCGGCGUUGCUCCGUCAGGCUUUCGCCCAUUGCGGAAGAUUCCCUACUGCUGCCUCCCGUAGGAGUCUGGACCGUAUCUCAGUUCCAGUGUGGCCGAUCACCCUCUCAGGUCGGCUACGUAUCGUUGCCUUGGUAAGCCAUUACCCCACCAACUAGCUAAUACGGCGCGGGUCCAUCUAUAAGUGAUAGUAAAACCAUCUUUCACUUUAGAACCAUGCGGUUCUAAAUAUUAUCCGGCAUUAGCCCCGGUUUCCCGGAGUUAUUCCAGUCUUAUAGGUAGGUUACCCACGUGUUACUCACCCGUCGCCGCUAACGUCAAAGGAGCAAGCUCCUAUCUGUUCGCUCGACUUGCAUGUAUUAGGCACGCCGCCAGCGUUCAUCCUGACGCCAGGACUCAAAACUCU
rnacentral:rRNA from 1 species